GCGAACGCUGGCGGCAGGCCUAAUACAUGCAAGUCGAGCGGUCCCUUCGGGGGCAGCGGCGGACGGGUGAGUAACGCGUGGGAACGUGCCCUUUGGUACGGAACAACUGAGGGAAACUUCAGCUAAUACCGUAAGUGCCCUUCGGGGGAAAGAUUUAUCGCCAUUGGAGCGGCCCGCGUUAGAUUAGCUAGUUGGUAGGGUAAUGGCCUACCAAGGCGACGAUCUAUAGCUGGUCUGAGAGGAUGAUCAGCCACACUGGGACUGAGACACGGCCCAGACUCCUACGGGAGGCAGCAGUAGGGAAUCUUGCGCAAUGGGCGAAAGCCUGACGCAGCCAUGCCGCGUGAAUGGUGAAGGUCUUAGGAUUGUAAAAUUCUUUCACCGGGGACGAUAAUGACGGUACACGGAGAAGAAGCCCCGGCUAACUUCGUGCCAGCCGCCGCAGUAAUAC
rnacentral:rRNA from 1 species